CCCGUAGAUGUUCUGGGCCGCACGCGCGCUACACUGAUGCAUUCAACGAGUUUCUUCCUGGUCCGAGAGGAAUGGGUAACCUUUUGAAAGUGCAUCGUGAUAGGGAUAGACUAUUGCAAUUAUUGGUCUUCAACGAGGAAUUCCUAGUAGACGUAGUUCAUCAGACUGCAUCGAUUACGUCCCUGCCCUUUGUACACACCGCCCGUCGCUCCUACCGAUUGAAUGCUCAGGUGAGCCAUUCGGACUUUCAUCAUGCUGGUUUCCAGUUUUGAUGAAGGAAAGUCUUGCGAACCUUAUCAUUUAGAGGAAGGAGAAGUCGUAACA
rnacentral:rRNA from 1 species